rnacentral:rRNA from 1 species
ACGGGAGGCAGCAGUGGGGAAUAUUGGACAAUGGGGGAAACCCUGAUCCAGCGACGCCGCGUGAGUGAAGAAGUAUUUCGGUAUGUAAAGCUCUAUCAGCAAGGAAGAAAAUGACGGUACUUGACUAAGAAGCUCCGGCUAAAUACGUGCCAGCAGCCGCGGUAAUACGUAUGGAGCAAGCGUUAUCCGGAUUUACUGGGUGUAAAGGGAGCGUAGGUGGCCAUGCAAGUCAGAUGUGAAAUCCCGGGGCUCAACCCCGGAGCUGCAUUUGAAACUGCGUAGCUAGAGUGCAGGAGAGGUAAGCGGAAUUCCUAGUGUAGCGGUGAAAUGCGUAGAUAUUAGGAGGAACACCAGUGGCGAAAGCGGCUUGCUGGACUGCAACUGACACUGAGGCUCGAAAGCGUGGGGAGCAAACAGGAUUAGAUACCCUGGUA